rnacentral:tRNA from 1 species
GGCUCUGUGGCCUAAUGGAUAAGGCACCAGAAUUCAAAGCUGGGGAUUGUGGGUGCAAGUUCUACCUCGGUUG